AUCUUGGACAAUGGGUGAAACCCUGAUCAACCCAUCCCGCGUGUAUGAUGAAGGCCUUCGUGUUGUAAAGUACUUUUGGCAGAGAAGAAAAGGUAUCCCCUAAUACGGCAUACAGCUUCUGGUAUCUGCAGAAUAAGCUCUGGCCACAUACGUGCCAGCAGCCGCGGUAAUAAGUAGGGUGCAAGCGUUAAUCGGAAUUACUGGGCGUAAAGCGUGUGUAGGCGGUUCGGAAAGAAAGAUGUGAAAUCCCAGGGCUCAACCUUGGAACUGCAUUUUUAACUGCCGAGCUAGAGUAUGUCAGAGGGGGGUAGAAUUCCACGUGUAGCAGUGAAAUGCGUAGAUAUGUGGAGGAAUACCGAUGGCGAAGGCAGCCCCCUGGGAUAAUACUGACGCUCAGACACGAAAGCGUGGGGAGCAAACAGG
rnacentral:rRNA from 1 species